rnacentral:rRNA from 1 species
CCUACGGGAGGCAGCAGUGAGGAAUAUUGGACAAUGGAGGCAACUCUGAUCCAGCCAUGCCGCGUGCAGGAAGACUGCCCUAUGGGUUGUAAACUGCUUUUAUAUAGGAAGAAACCUUGGUACGUGUACCAAGCUGACGGGACUAUAAGAAUAAGGAUCGGCUAACUCCGUGCCAGCAGCCGCGGUAA